GAUGAACGCUGGCGGCGUGCCUAACACAUGCAAGUCGAACGGAAAGGCCCUGCUUUUGCGGGGUGCUCGAGUGGCGCACGGGUGAGUAACACACGAGUAUCCCGCACCUGACUUUGUGAUAACUUUAGGGAAAUGCGGAUAAUACCGCAUAGGAGAUACUGAUGCAUGGUGGGCGUUGGAAAGAUUCGGCGGUUGGGGAUGGACUCGAGGCUUAUGAGCUUGUUGGUGGAGUUGUGGCUUACCAAGCUUUCGACGGGUAGCCGGCCUGAGAGGGUAGACAGGGUCAUGGGGACUGAGGGACGGAGCAGUCUGCUACGGUAGGCAGCAGGGGAGAAUAUUGCACAGUGAGGGGAAGCGUGUGGCGGCGGCGCCGCGUGCGUAAUGACGUCCUUCGGGUUGUAAACCGCUUUCGCCUGUGACGAAGCGUGAGUGACGGUAAUGGGUAAAGAAGCACCGGCUAACUACGUG
rnacentral:rRNA from 1 species